rnacentral:tRNA from 1 species
UCUCUGGAGGAAUAGUGGUUAGGCCUUGGCGCUCUCACCACCGCGGCUCGGGUUCGAUUCCUGGCCAGGGAA